GCCGCCUUAGCUCAGGGGUAGAGCAACGCACUCGUAAUGCGUAGGUCCAGGGUUCAAAUCCCUGAGGCGGCUCCA
rnacentral:tRNA from 1 species